rnacentral:sRNA from 1 species
GACGAGGAUCGCCACCUCCACAUGAAAAUGUGGCUACAAAAAACGACAUCAACAUUUUAAAACUAAACGCUUUAGUUAAGUCAUGGAAAUCAACACUCUAUCUAAACAAGCAAAUUGCGCAAGAAUCUGAUCCUUCAUAAUGUGCUCACAAACCUUUGACAAAAUGGGUAAAAUUGAAAUGGGUCUUAGAUCAUCCGGGCCAUUGACAGGAACAGUUUUAGGAAUAGGAACUACUCGAGCCGUUUUCCAAGCAGUUGGAAAAACAGAGGAAGUUAACUUCAUGACCCCCAAUGCAGCCAUAUACGCGAAGAACUAUCCACAAACCAUCCGCGGGCAUCCCCUUGAACCGUCCCAAAUAGUGAAUCUGCCUCUCCUUAGGAUCUAUUCGAGAUCUAGGUCCAUUCGCUUUGUACUUCAAGUAGGCCAGGCCUCCAGGAACUAAUGAAAUGAUAUCCUCAAAAAGUGAAGAGACGAGAAAACACUUAUCAUCGACUUCCGGUGCGUUAAAAAUAGCUGAGAAAUCAAAAUCCAUUAAAUAACUAAGCAUACCAAACAUAUCAAUGUGCUUGUAAUCAUGGUAUUCCACAAAUGUCUCCGCUUUACUUAAAUGGAUGUCUAAAACUCCAAAUGCUAAUGCAUGGCUAGAGAUUGCACGGCACUGAACCUGACCAGUUGUAAACCUAUUUUAAUUACAACUCAAGAGCAUAAAUUCAAUCAGACUCGUUAUACCGUGCUCUACAUCGUAAUGAGUGAAAUAUUAAAUAAGUUGCAAUUAGAAGAAACAGAGAUUCACAACUCUCCAAAUUCGAACUACAAAAAACCGGUUUAUGCCGAAGUGAUGAAGAAAUAUAUAUGCCAACACCACCACCUCUGGAAACUUUACGAUUGUUUCCAUGGAAGGUGUAUCCUGAAACUUCAACAGAACGUGAAGAAACCGCAGACUUUAGCUAAGCCAUAGACUGUCUAAAAAUAUCAAGAAUAGACUCACAUAAAAUCGCAAUUUGAAUUGUUAAUUUUAAUGGGUCAUUUUUAAGCAAAUAAAAGGUUUAAUAGAAAUAAUGUAAUCAUUAUAAAGAUAAUAUUUGAA